UUGUUUGUCUCGUAGGGGAGACACUAUGGUCAUGGCAGGUGUGUUUGCCAGGGUGAAGUGAAUCCUUUGCACUCCAGAUUGGCUGAUCCCUCUGAUUUCCCAGGUGCUGAUCUCUGCGAUUUCCCAGAAACCUCAACUGCGUAAUUUUUGGUAGGAGGACACUAGCUGCACCUUUCCCUG
rnacentral:snRNA from 12 species